rnacentral:rRNA from 1 species
CGAACGGAAGGCCCUGCUUGCAGGGUACUCGAGUGGCGAACGGGUGAGUAACACGUGGGUGAUCUGCCCUGCACUUCGGGAUAAGCCUGGGAAACUGGGUCUAAUACCGGAUAGGACCAUCGUUUAGUGUCGGUGGUGGAAAGUUUUUCGGUGCAGGAUGAGCCCGCGGCCUAUCAGCUUGUUGGUGGGGUAAUGGCCUACCAAGGCGUCGACGGGUAGCCGGCCUGAGAGGGUGGACGGCCACAUUGGGACUGAGACACGGCCCAGACUCCUACGGGAGGCAGCAGUGGGGAAUAUUGCACAAUGGGCGCAAGCCUGAUGCAGCGACGCCGCGUGGGGGAUGAAGGCCUUCGGGUUGUAAACUCCUUUCAGCAGGGACGAAGCUUUUGUGACGGUACCUGCAGAAGAAGCACCGGCUAACUACGUGCCAGCAGCCGCGGUAAUACGUAGGGUGCGAGCGUUGUCCGGAAUUACUGGGCGUAAAGAGCUCGUAGGUGGUUUGUCGCGUCGUCUGUGAAAUUCCGGGGCUUAACUCCGGGCGUGCAGGCGAUACGGGCAUAACUUGAGUGCUGUAGGGGAGACUGGAAUUCCUGGUGUAGCGGUGAAAUGCGCAGAUAUCAGGAGGAACACCGAUGGCGAAG